CAAAGGAAGAGCAAAACAGAAUCCUUACACACCAUGUGACACAUCUUUUUUGCAUUUUGAAACUGGAGAAAACCCUAGAAACCAAAUCCUCUCUCGCAUUGCCAUCUGCCUCCAUAAUGAUAACACUAUGCUUGCUACAAUCAUGGCAGACAUCAUGGUAACAAAGGAGAUCGAGGACACCGCGCUACGUCUAUGCGUCGAUCUCUCCACUCUCGAUCUCGACGCCAUUCGCCUCCCUCCCGGCGAAGAUUGCGGCCUCUUGAGCCACCUUUUCUCAUGCUUGCAGCCUCUUGAGCAAGUUCUCGAAGGAGAAACGUGCUUAUGCUGAUUCCACCGUUGGAAUUGGUGGAAAAAUAGAACCUAAAAAAGCGAGUACCAAGGAUUUGUUAGCAAGCUUACAAAACUCAUAUGGGGCCUUAAAGCUAAGCGCUUCUGCCAUGGAAUUUCUUCCCCAGCUUGUGGAAAACCCCUGAAUUAAGAAGUCUAGUUGUGCUACUAUAUUUUUUUAUUGUUAUUUUUUUUUCUGAAGUCUAAGAAAAAAGUUAAAAAAAAAGUGAUUUUUGUUCUAUGGAAUAAUUUAGGGAAUUUUGACUUAUGAUUUUUUAUCUUUAUUAGUAGAUUAUAUGUGAAUUUCAUUAUGAUUAUAGUUGGAGAUGGUGAGGGAUCCUCUGGAUCUGAGGCGGUAUGCGAAAACUGAGGACGGUGAUGACCUAACUCAAGCAUUGGUGGAGGAAAUCAUAGAGAAAUGUCUUGGUUUCGAAGUUGAGCAGAGGAGUUUGGUGAUUCGUAUCAAGAGUUAUGCCAAGAGGAAAAGAUUUUGUAUAAAUUGAUAUCUGGUCUUCACUCCUCCAUAUCAAUUCAUAUAGCUUUUGAUUAUCUACUUGAUGAAGCUACAAAUUUGUGGGGACAAAAUCUUACUUUGAUGUAUGACCGAGUCCUAAGAUACCCUGAUCAUGUCAGAAAUUUGUAUUUCACUUUUCUCUUUGUUCUGCGAGCAGUAACCAAAGCUUUAGAUUAUCUGGAACAGGCAGAGUAUGAUACUGGUAACCCCAAUGAGGACCUUACAACACAAUCCUUGAUAAAAUAGCUACUUUACAACCCCAAGCUUCAAGCUGCAUGUCCAAUUCCAUUUGAUGAAGCCAAUUUGUGGAAAGGCCAAAGUGGACCUGAGCUAAAACAGAAAAUUCAACAACAAUUUAGAAACAUCAGUGCAUUGAUGGAUUGUGUAGGAUGUGAGAAAUGUUGAUUAUGGGGUAAGCUAUAUUAUAUAUCUUCAUAUGUCCUUUUACUUGUAUCUGCACAAUGCAUACAAUUCAUUUCUAUAUUAUUAUAUAUCUUUCUAGCUUCCUCCAUAUUCCACAAUACCUUUUGUGUAAUAUUAUUGAAGGAAAGCAUUUUCAAUUUUUUAAGGACACCUGCACUUUUUAUAAUAUUGUUUCAAUACUUCCUUAUCCUUUUCAAUUUAUUUAAUUAUUGAAUGGUUUCAGUUCAAAUUAUUUAAUUAAUUCCUUUCACCCAUUUUUUCUUAAUUCUUUUUCAAAAUAAUUUCUUGAUAUUUUUUUGUUAACUUAAUAUUUUUCAUGUGUGAUUCGAACUCGAGUGGUAAUGGAGACGAUUUUACAAGCAACGUGAAAAGGCUCAUAAUUGAUUUGGUCACCAUUUGAAGGAAGAGAAUGUGAAAGAGUGAGGUCAGAGUUGCCUGUAGACGAAGACAAUCGUCAUCAGUUGCAGCUGCAAAGGAAUGAGGUAAUUGCAUUGACGAACCUUCUCAAUCGACUCUCGGAAUCCUUCAAAUUCGUCCACGAAGUGGGACCUACAGUUGAAAGAAUCAUGGAAGGAGGACAUUUUUCUGCUCAUACAAGAACUGAUUAGCUCAUGGAAAAAAAUUUGGUCCUAUGUAUCUAAAACUUAGGUGUGUAUGUGCGAUUCUAGUGUUGACCCAUAAGGGGAUAAUAAAAACCCUUUUAGGCUAACACUUUAUAAGAAGACUAUGGUCUCCAAUAUACCAAUCCACCAAAAGCUCAUCCUUCAUUCUCUUCAUCUGAAGAGAGAUCGACGCCCCGUUAGAAACUCAAGAGGUUAGGUUGAGUAAAAACCAUUACGCUAGGCAUCAGCUUUCCUUGUUGAAGAAUGCUCGAAUCAGGAACAGACAAUGGAUCUAGGUAUUUAUUUUAAUCCGUCAGAUAUCGGGUAUGGGUAUGGGACAUGUUGGGGAGUCGGAGUCGGGGUCGGGAAUUGGGGAGACAAUAUUCGUCCCUGUCCCACCCCAUUGCAAUGUCUAAGCAAGAAUAUCUUGAUUGAAUCCAAGAGUAAGAGUAGGAAUAUGUUGAUCAUGACUAGGAAAUAGUUGAUUAAGAAUAGGAAUACAUUGUUCAGCAACAGGAAAAAUCCAACCGUUUAGUCUAGCAAACUUUCUCCUAAGGUAUUAUAUGAAGAAGAAAAAGAAGGAGAAGAAGAAGGAAGUAAUAUCAUUGGAUUUACCCUAUUGUUUUAAAAAAUGUGUACUCUCAUACUAUCAAAAAAUGAGAUAAGAUAAUAAAUGUUAUAGUUGUAGAUAAAUAUUAUUAUGUUU